UACGAAGGGAGCUAGCGUUGUUCGGAGUUACUGGGCGUAAAGGGCGCGUAGGCGGUCUGUCAAGUCGGGAGUGAAAUCCCUGGGCUCAACCCGGGAAUUGCUCUCGAGACUGGCAGGCUAGAGGAUGGGAGAGGUUGGUGGAAUUCCCAGUGUAGAGGUGAAAUUCGUAGAUAUUGGGAAGAACACCGGUGGCGAAGGCGGCCAACUGGACCAUUUCUGACGCUGAGGCGCGAAAGCGUGGGGAGCAAACAGG
rnacentral:rRNA from 1 species